rnacentral:rRNA from 1 species
UCGAGGAUCUUUGGCAAUGGGCGCAAGCCUGACCAAGCGACGCCGCGUGUGCGAUGAAGGCCUUCGGGUUGUAAAGCACUGUCGAGGGGGAGGAAGCCGCAAGGUUGACCUAUCCCUGGAGGAAGCACGGGCUAAGUUCGUGCCAGCAGCCGCGGUAAGACGAACCGUGCGAACGUUGUUCGGAUUCACUGGGCUUAAAGGGCGCGUAGGCGGACUCGCAAGUCUGUGGUGAAAGCCCCCAGCUCAACUGGGGAAGUGCCGUGGAUACUGUGAGUCUGGAGGAGGGUAGGGGCAUCUGGAACGCUGGGUGGAGCGGUGAAAUGCGUUGAUAUCCAGCGGAACUCCGGUGGCGAAGGCGAGGUGCUGGACCCUUUCUGACGCUGAUGCGCGAAAGCCAGGGGAGCAAACGGGAUUAGAUACCCCCGUAGUCC